ACCCUCUGGUAAUGGGCAAAGAGAUACCUUGCUGGUGGUGUUGUUCUUCUAUUAGUCAGGGGCAGGGCAGUUGGCAGUCCUUUCUUUAUCCUAGCUUGAUGCGUGCUUUGGUGGCCAAAGCUGUUUCUGCCAAGACACAUAA